UACGUAGGGGGCAAGCGUUGUCCGGAAUCAUUGGGCGUAAAGCGCGUGUAGGCGGCUUGGUAAGUCCGCUGUGAAAGCCCGAGGCUUAACCUCGGAGGGUCGGUGGAUACUGGCAGUCUUGAAGGUGGUAGGGAGAGAUGGAAUUACCGGUGUAGCGGUGAAAUGCGUAGAGAUCGGUAGGAACACCAGUGGCGAAGGCGGUCUCUUGGCCCACUCUUGACGCUGAGGCGCGAAAGCUGGGGGAGCGAACGGG
rnacentral:rRNA from 1 species